AAUCUGUACUUACCUCUUAAUCAUAAAACACUUGAUAUUGUCCAAAAGUCCAUCAAACCUUUGAACUUCAAAAUCUCCUGUUGUGUGUUUACCUUGCUGUAAGUCAAAAACAAACACUGUAAUUCAGCCCCACUCCAGGUUGUGCUACAGGCUUAUGCUAGCUAGGCCAUACUUGGGCUGCUGUGCUGCAGCCUGGCCAUCCGAGCGGCUAUGAGCAGCAGAACACCAGCGACGACCUCCAGGCCGUAAGACAGCCAGGCCAGACCCAAAGACCAGCCGAAUGAAGUGUGAAUGUACGCCAAAGCUUCUGGCCCCACCAGCCUCUCUGUCUCUGCAAGGGCCUGCUCACAUAACCCCAGUGAUGGGCAGAAGUUCCAUACAGGAGGGAUCAGCUGAUGGAGGUAGAAUAUUGUUGUCCCUCCCUUCUACAAACCAAGACACGACUCACCAAUUAAAAGAUCCCUCAAGCACAACACACAAAACAGCUCCUGGAAUCAGUUUGAAGUGGACACUCACAGGCAGGCUUGAUGAUCUACUGUAUACUGUCAGAGGGGAGUGCUCCAGGUUUUUUGGCUUCACUUAUGUGUAGCCUAUGCAGUCCAUGGUUUCAUACAGUCUAUGAUUCAUCAUUCCAUCACUUCAUGAAGCUCAAAGCCUUCAGUCGAAUGCUGCAAAAGAUGGUGUAACCUGUACCACUGCCCUAAAUUUUAUCCCACAAAGUGUCCGAGACGUGAUUGGUCCCUCAUGAUGUUUAAGGCCGGGCAUGGUCAUACUAACGU